rnacentral:lncRNA from 1 species
GAUUUUGAUUUUUCACAUUUUAGCGUAUUCCAACAAAUUUUGAUUGUAAUGAACUUUUACAGUUGCUCAAAAAAUGGCUAACACACUGAACAAAAUAUGCUCAAGUACAUAUGGAAACUUCUCCGAUUAAAGGUGACCAGGUGACCACCGGUGACCUGACUGACCUUUGGCGACCCAUACCAUCAUAUUGUUGUGUCAUCAUGUGUUUGUCUGUGUGCCUGUGUUAGCAAAGGUGCAUGUAAAAUAAUAAAGAUGCUCUUCGUAUUGAUUUGGGGGUCAUGCAUUCAUUAGUAAUCCUAAAGAACUCAUUAGUCGUCCCUUUUUCCUCUGCAAGACAGUGAAGAUGAUAAACAUGAACAAGGAAGAGAUGAUGCAUUUACAUGCACUUCUCCUUUAUGACUAGUGAUAUUCACCUGAUACAAAAUCAACUGAAUGCCUAGUCCCAUAGUAAAGUUAGUGUCUGAUCCCGAAGCAUCAGUUUAUGACACUGUUGGUGAACAGAUCAACAGAUAUGAUCAGAGUAAGUACAGAUUAAAGAGGUAAUCUUUGGGCCAGUUCCUGAAAUUAGUGCUAUAGUCAUCAUAAAGUGGACAAGUUAAAGGUACAUAUAGGUAUAUGUGCAGCAUCCUUCCCUUCCUCCCCUUUGUUACCUCUGGUAUAAAGGUUACCUCUGAAGACCAGCAGGUGUAAAGGUUAUACCUCCGAUAACCAGCGAUAACCAGCGCUAACUCUGUUGUACAUGUAGCUGUAAUAACAAAAUGUCCACUUGAUUAGAUUGGAAGAGUCAAAUCAGAAGAGGUAUUCACAAGGCCACAUUCUGAAAUUUGUACUAGUCAUCAUAAACAGGACAUGUUCAAGGCCUGAUUCAAAAUGUUGCCCAAAAUUAAUGAAUCAAGCCUGAUAUCAGUACUGGUGCUGCCCUGUUGACUAUCAUUGCUGAAU